rnacentral:tRNA from 1 species
GGGCGGCUAGCUCAGCUGGUCAGAGCACCUCGUUUACACCGAGGGGUCGGGGUUCGAACCCCUCGCCGCCCACCA